rnacentral:lncRNA from 1 species
UCUUCUUUCUCCAACCCCCAAACCCUCCAACGGCAGUCUACCGCGAACUUAAAGAUCCGACGAGAACUUGAAGAUCCGACGACGAAAUCAGUUUACCGGUGACCGGAACUCAACUAAAUCAGGUUAGUCUUCCGUGUUUUCCGUAAAUCACCAGACUGUGCUGGGUUUCUUCUUUUACUCGAUCCACCAGCCGUCCUAUUGAUUAAAAUCUCUUUCUUCUUGAACUAUGGUCUUCAGAGACCUCUUCAUAUUAAAAUCGUCCUAUUGAUUUUACUCGAUCCGCAAGCCCUCGAUAUCCCAGCUGUUUGUAUUAUAAAAUUUACUGUAGCCAGAGUUACGUGUUCAAUUGAUUCUAUCUAAAUUCAUUCGUGGUUUUAUAUCUGAACAAGCAAUCUUUUUUCAGUUUUUUGAGUUUAUUUUCUUUUUCUUUGAUUGUUUGUUUUUGCAUUUGUUUGGGACCUUCUGGUAUUUUGCCUGGCUCCUUCCUUGUACAGUUAGUUAUAUCUGUACAUUAUUAUAUUUAGAAUGUACUUUAGAGUGGCAUUCUGUUCUUAUAAGUGUUUCAAGGUUUUGAAAUAGUUGGGAAUUCCAUUGGUGAGUGAUCUUAAUAUCUUAUUAUUAGAGACAUUCAUUAUUAGUUCUCUUGAGAAGAUUUUAGCUUGUUGGAAGGAUUGUCUACAGGGACUGAGAGGAAGUCUCCAGAAAGGAACAAAACAGACAAAUCAAGUUGUUUUUCUGUAUUAUGCUACAAAUUCGAUUCUAGGCAACACUUUUAAGUUAUAAAAGACAGUUCAAAUUUCAUCAAAUAAGAAAAAUUGAUGACAAGAUUAAUAUGUUCGUCCCUUCCAGAUUACACCUUUCGACCACUCUUGUGAAUCAAAUAUCAAGUAGCUGAUUUCAUCGAUUACACUCUUAAUUUCGGAGUUUGGAAUUUACCUGCCAAUAAAACUUUGGCCUUUUGUAAUGGUAGCCAGGUAUAUCAAACAUUAAGCAUAGGAAUUCAUAAUACAAUACCAAUCUAACUGACUACUGUAUAGAUAGAUUGGCGGAUAGAUAAGAUCUGAUUUUAAAAUAAAAUGACAUCUGAAAUAUCAUUCCAGAUCUUUUACCAGCUUGUUUGUAUUCAAAAUUUGUGUAAUCGGAGAAUGCUGAUUUCUACUUUCUUGGUGAUAUUUCUUGGUCCAUUUGGUCGGGGAGGUUAGUUAUUGUAAUUGAAGAAAUACCGUCCCACCACUCCACCAACUUCUGCAAGUGGAUGAAAAUUGAAGUAGCACAACUGUAGAGUUUUAUUUUAUUUACAGACAGCUGUAAAUAAAAAUAAAGAGAGGAUUUUUAUCGUUGGUUUUUGGCACUUUAUGCCAUCUCCAUCUAGAAUUCCUCUAUCUCCCUGUUUUUAACAUUUAUGCUUGUUAAUCGUUUUAACAUUUGGUCAGGGAGGUAUUUAUGUUAUAAUUAAGUUGAAUAUUUUAAUGAGAUAAAUGUUUUAAUUGUAUAAAUAUUUCUAAUGUUUUACGAUAUAUCUAUGUUUUAUGUUUUAAUUGUAUGUUUUUAUUUUAUUUAG